UGCCCUGCAAAUGUCAGCGCCAGCCCAGUCCAAAGAGCUUGAAACCUACCAAGCUAAAGGACUAUGCUGUGCCUCUCUCGCGCACAUUUUCCCCAAGCACUCUCAGGAACCUGGCAACAGGUAACGUGGCAACCUUUGACUUAUAAAAGGGCAAGUGGCACAAUUUCAGGGAACAAAUGGACUUUUUUUUAAAGCCAGCAUCUCCCCCACCACUCCCACACCCCACUCCCUCCCUCCCAACCAAAAGUGAGUAAAAAACAAAGCAUUGACGCGGGCAGUCCUACUCUCGAGUGUCCCCUUGUGGCCAAGCCUGGAACAUCACAUCCGUACUUUGCAAUCUGUGGAUCGGCUAGGAGGAUGAAUGCCAUCCACACAAAAGAGCUCCUGUUGACAUCUCAUUUACAAUCUCCCCCAGGACACAGACAAGACCCUUUCAAUAAACUCGGCUCAGAAACACCUAUUGUUCAAAAUCUUCAACUCGCCACAGGCUACCACCACUCCCUACGGCUUUGCAAAAUUAAAGAUUUAGAAGAAGGAUGGGGACGGUGGAAGCUAUGAAAAGAGGCAGGAAAAAAGUCCCUUUGACCCGAUGCUGUCAGAGAGCGUGCAUGAAGAAGAAAGUUAAUGGUAUUUCCAUUUAUAUAAGAAGUGCCUAAGAAAUGCCUGUGACGUUUGUGAACUAGUGAUUGUGAAUUCCAAAUGUGAUGCCAACUUUAUGUGUAAAGAAGCUAACUCCUGCCAACAUUGUGGCUGAAUGAACAGCCGGGGCUAUGCUUAACCCAUUCCCAGCUUACAAAAGCCCCAUAGCAGCUGCAGCAAAGCAUCAGGUGAGUCUGAUCUGGGCUGUCCUGUUUCCUCGGGGAUUUGACGCUUGCCUGUCCUGUCCAAGUGGAAUCUUGUGCCUAAGUGCUCGAGUCUACCCCUCUCCACUGAUUCCCUUCUUUCCAUUUCUGCCAUUUCCCUUCUUCUUUUAAUAAAACUUGGGCAUUUUCUGGAGUCACAUGUUUUUCUUGGGAUGUACUUCAAAUUAAGGAGCGUAUUUGUGUUUACAGAAACACACACACACACACAAAAGAAUCGGGCAUUUCUCAAGUUUCUCAUCUUUCACUUGAGGUUCCCUAUCUCAGUACACGAUCCCUUUGUCUGCCCCGAGUUCAAGCCAAAACUUGGCAUUAUCUGUAAGCACUCUUUUGGGUCCUCUUCGAUCUCUUAAAUCCCUCUGGAAUCAUUCCACAUCCUUCUGUGCAUCUUUCUGCUUCCCUAGAUCCUAUAGUUUUAAAUGUUCUCUUCUGGAGUAUCACAGCAACUUCCUUAACCCAAGGUUUCUCCAACUCUGAGUUGUGACUUAAUGGGUAGUGAAAUCAGAUGAGUCAUGCAGUUUCACCAUUUAGAAAAUGCAAAAGGUUAGGUAGAAAAUGUCAGCGUACAUCCUGUGUAGAAAAAUUAAGUCUUGUUGGGAAACUUCUUUCAGUUUGUGUGUGCGUGUCCCCGGAUCUGUGUACAUACUGGGCAACAAGGAAAAUGCAUUUUGUAGGUCAAAAUAUUUGGAGAAAUACUUUUCUACUUAGUCUCACUGGGUCUGUCUUUUCUCUGUUUCCAAACUAAAUUGCGUACACUGAGAGGAAGAGCGGAAACCCUCCAGCAGGUCCUGUCAGUCUGCAGUUUACAAAUCUGCCCUCAGGAAAGUAUGGUAAGAAGAAACUGAAUUUGAAGUGCUUUCUUACAAAGGAAAAAGAAAUCACUAUUGUAAUUGUAUGCCAAACUACUACGUAUGUGAGGCCCCAACUCUGACUUCACGUCGUUACAGCCAGGCACUUGAGGAGGCGGAGGCGGGCGGAUCACCCGAGGUCGGGAGUUCGAGACCAG